rnacentral:tRNA from 1 species
GUGUACGUGGUGGAAAUGGUAGACACGCAAGAUUGUGGUUCUUGUGGGGCGCAAGCCCCGUGCAGGUUCAAGUCCUGUCGUACACC